rnacentral:rRNA from 1 species
CUUGAGAGUUUGAUCCUGGCUCAGAAUGAACGCUGGCGGCAUGCCUAACACAUGCAAGUCGAACGAAGGCCCUAGCUUGCUAGGUGUCCUUAGUGGCGGACGGGUGAGUAACGCGUGGGGAUUUGCCCUAGAGUGGGGAACAACUUUUGGAAACGAAAGCUAAUACCGCAUACGCCCUUUUGGGGAAAGGCUUCGGCCGCUCUUGGAUGAUCCCGCGUCUGAUUAGCUUGUUGGUGAGGUAACGGCUCACCAAGGCGACGAUCAUUAGCUGGUUUGAG